UUAGUACAAAAUAAUUUUAAACGUUGAUACUCCCUCUGUUCCUAAAUAUAGGAUUUUCUACACUUUUCACGUUUAUUAAGACUAUAAUAAUUAUUUGCACUUUAUUUAAUUAUUUAUAUCAUUUACACACUUUCCAAUAACUGUCUACCAAUAAAAUUUAAUCAGUACAACUUUUAAUAAAAAAAGAACCUCAAAAGUAUACAAAACUACCUUAAAAAUAUAGAAAAUCUUAUAUUGUGGAACAAAGAAAAACUCCAAAAAAUCCUAUAUUUAGGAACGGAGGGAGUAUAUGUGUAAUAUUAAAAGUGCAUUAUAAUAAUUAAUUAAAGUAUGAAACAAUUGGAUAUAUUAUUUUUAUAAACAGAAAUCCAAGAGAAGUUCUGUUGUUAGUUAAUACAGUUUCUCAUUGUUAACCAUCUUAUAAAAAGUGUAAAAUUAUUUGUUCGCAAUAUUCAUGUGGUAUUCGAGAUUUAAAUACAUAUACUCUCUUCUUAUAGUAUGACAUUUCUAGACAACAUUGUACAAAAUGUUGUUCCUUCCAUUUUAGUUAUUCGGUUUCAGUUUGGGUUGGAUUCUGGAUUAUUCUAAUUUUCAGUUUUAUGUAUUUGUAGAAACUGUACGGUCGCCAAAUGGUUCGUUUAACAUAAUAUUAGUUCUAUACUUCUAUCUCUCUAAGUAGUCUGGUAGAUUACUCAGCAGCAAUUGUUUAUGUAAAAUAUCUUGGACUCGAAUCCUAUGCAAAUGUGUUGAGAUUCGAGAUACAUUACUUAAACUCUCCGUCUUAAGAACACAAUACUUUAUUGAAAAAUAUGUAUGGUCGAAAUCGAUUAAUAUUAAACUGGAAGCACACACAAAAAUAUAAACGAGAAUAUAAGCAUUAGGAGUAUGCAUAUAAUAGAUCCCUCCACAUACAAUCAUGUUAGGUUCGUAUGAUAGUUUAAUUGGAUGGUUAUCCAAAGUAGAGUAGCCAAUAAUUCUGGGAACUGAGAUGUGUGAUUUGAUUGGUUUUAUUUCUCUUUAUUAUUAUGAGAUUAGUUAUAUGAUAAAAUGGUUGUGUGGGUUCCACGAUCAGGCUAAAACAGCAUCUGUUGUUUUUACCUUAUUUCAAGACUCAUAUGGUCCUUCUCCUCCCAACCAAUCAGACUGCAUGAAGUGUCCUCCAUUUCAAAGUCGAAAAGCUGUCCUGUCAGAGCACAUUUGGAAAUAUAUAAGUAUAAAACAGCUAUCCUUAUCUACGUAUCUAUCAAAUAUACAUGUGUCCUGUUUAUCGUAGUGUAAAGUAAUAAGCCAAUAAGGCGUGUUUUUAUUUUUGUUUCGUGGUUGGACAUUUGAUUUUUUUUUUUUGUGCAAAGGUUGGACAUUUGAUAUUAAUCCAAAUCAAGAUGACCGUUGUCCAUUACAAGUAAAUAACUGGCGUAUAUAUAAUUACGAGAAGAUAGAAUAUAUAGAAAAGAAAAAAUCUAUUAUUAUAAAGAAAAUGUGUCUCUCUUCUCCUUCACCCACCUCAUAAAAUAGUUUAAGGUGGUAGCGACACGUGUCCGAGAAAAUUUGUUUUUUCACUUUCGUUUGUUAUUUUACGGGCUUUAACAUUUCCUUAAUAUAUGGGCUACAAAUCAUAUUAGUUGGGUUUCUGAAAAGACACAGAAGGUCUCCGCCUUCUUCGUUUGUGUCGUCUAUUGUUCUACGUUACGGAAGACAGAUGAAUCCAAUUGUCGCUUUUAACACACUCAUUAAAAAAAUCUCCCACUACUCACACGAUUUGUGAUUCAAUGCAUCCCUUAUUACUUCCAUUUUGUAAUUCUUCCACUAUAAAUUGGCGAGCCCGUGUACCUCAACCAUCCAGCUUCGCCUGCUUAGGUUUGGAAGCAAAAGAUGUGAAACGCGGCGGCGAGCUUAUGGGGUAGACAUGUUCACUGUCAAGGCAGAGAUAAUUUCGAUACGAGCAGUGGUCUCUACGACCUUCACCUCUCGAGAAUCAUCACCAUCAUCAUCAGCUCAUAAAAGCGAAGGAGAGAUACUUACCAAAUCGAACGUUAAGAACUUUAGAUUUCGCAAACUUUGCGGAGUUGCAUCAUGUUCGUUGCUUUUAUAGUUCUUUCUUUUGUUUCCUGCUACUCAUUACUGGAGCAUGAUAUCACAUUAUCUUGCAGGAUUUGAGAAAGUUUAUGUUUUUUUGUGUGUUUGGAACUACCAGACACAGGUGGGUGUAUAAUUUUGUUUUUUUUUAAAUCUGGAUUCAGAUGUACAUAUGUUCCUUCCAAUGAAAAAAUUGUGAUAAGUAAUAACCGAAAUUGCAACUAAAAUAUUAUUAUCUUUAUGUAUUCUAUGAGGCUUAGCAGUCUUUUCAUAGAUUUGUAGGCUGCUUUUAUGGCGCAUAGAUCUUAUUCUAAUCUGAAUCUUGCUUGACAAUCCUCAGGUGACCGAAAGUCUUUCUAGGCGACCAAAUUACCAUGUAAACAUUUUUUUUCUUCUGCGUUAGUUAAAAUGUUUUACUCUUAGUUAUAAUUUUUUGUUGGAUGAGUAUUUUUUAUUCAUAUCACAUGCCAAAUAGAGUGAAGAGGCAGAAGUAAUGGCCACAUUUUCAAAUUUGUAGAAUUAUGAUAAGUAGUAAUGAUAAGAGAUUUUAUUUGAUAAGAAGUUAAUUCAUUUUCUGUGAAAUGGCUAUAGCUCAUCAAUCCUUGUUUAUUUGAAUUCCGACCGCUCCUCCUCAACGGUGGAAGUGUGAUUGCCACUGAUGAAGUUUCAGUUGAAGAGGAAACAUCGAUGCUUUUGUCAAUAGGUUCGAUAUCAGAGCAGCAGCCACAAGUGAAAAGAGAGAUUUGUGUGACGUUAAUCAAGAUGCUUCUACUAGAGCUUGAAAAACCAUCUAAUCUGAAGUAUUACGAACCUUAGCAAGAAUGUGAAACAAUUGCUGUCUCGGGUUUAGUUGACUACCAGAACAAGUAAGAGCAUGACUGCUGCCAUUCAUGUGAGGAUGUUUGUGACACAUUUAGAAACAAAGGUUGGGAUGUUACAAAUCCAGAUUUGAUUGACAAGGUGAGUUGCUGAUAAAACACGGCUGUAGGGUCAUUGGAAAAAAAGAGCGGGAGGGAAGAUAGCGACAUCGCAGCUGGUGGACGUGGAGAAGUGCAAUUACCUUACUGUUGAUUUCUUAAGCUUCACGAGCUCUGGGAAUGUCCACUGUUUUUUUCGGUUGUGGUCGGUGGUUCAGACAUGGAAGAGACUUAUGGUUAUUUAAUUUUUGUGAGAGGAUUCUGUCUCCAAGUGGGAUGGCAUCAUGCCUAUCGCUCAUUACAGCUACACAGUUUGUUCUGCUGUGUCUAUUUUUGUAUAUGUUUUUGACCAUUACCUUAUGCAUACGCUCCAACAUAUCAACAAUAUUUUUUUAGUUGUGAUCCGGUUGACAAAAAAAAGAGUUAUGUAGA